rnacentral:rRNA from 1 species
GUGGGGAAUCUUAGACAAUGGGGGAAACCCUGAUCUAGCCAUGCCGCGUGAGCGAUGAAGGCCUUAGGGUUGUAAAGCUCUUUCAGCUGGGAAGAUAAUGACGGUACCAGCAGAAGAAGCCCCGGCUAACUCCGUGCCAGCAGCCGCGGUAAUACGGAGGGGGCUAGCGUUGUGCGGAAUUACUGGGCGUAAAGCGCGCGUAGGCGGACCAGAAAGUUGGAGGUGAAAUCCCAGGGCUCAACCUUGGAACUGCCUUCAAAACUCCUGGUCUGGAGUUCGAGAGAGGUGAGUGGAAUUCCGAGUGUAGAGGUGAAAUUCGUAGAUAUUGGGAAGAACGCCGGUGGCGAAGGCGACCACCUGGCUCGGUACUGACGCUGAGGCGCGACAGCGUGGGGAGCAAACAGGAUUAGAUACCCUUGUAGUCC